GAUUGAACGCUGGCGGCAGGCCUAACACAUGCAAGUCGAGCGGUAGCACAGAGAGCUUGCUCUCGGGUGACGAGCGGCGGACGGGUGAGUAAUGUCUGGGAAACUGCCUGAUGGAGGGGGAUAACUACUGGAAACGGUAGCUAAUACCGCAUAACGUCGCAAGACCAAAGUGGGGGACCUUCGGGCCUCAUGCCAUCAGAUGUGCCCAGAUGGGAUUAGCUAGUAGGUGGGGUAACGGCUCACCUAGGCGACGAUCCCUAGCUGGUCUGAGAGGAUGACCAGCCACACUGGAACUGAGACACGGUCCAGACUCCUACGGGAGGCAGCAGUGGGGAAUAUUGCACAAUGGGCGCAAGCCUGAUGCAGCCAUGCCGCGUGUGUGAAGAAGGCCUUCGGGUUGUAAAGCACUUUCAGCGGGGAGGAAGGCGGUGAGGUUAAUAACCUCACCGAUUGACGUUACCCGCAGAAGAAGCACCGGCUAACUCCGUGCCAGCAGCCGCGGUAAUACGGAGGGUGCAAGCGUUAAUCGGAAUUACUGGGCGUAAAGCGCACGCAGGCGGUCUGUCAAGUCGGAUGUGAAAUCCCCGGGCUCAACCUGGGAACUGCAUUCGAAACUGGCAGGCUAGAGUCUUGUAGAGGGGGGUAGAAUUCCAGGUGUAGCGGUGAAAUGCGUAGAGAUCUGGAGGAAUACCGGUGGCGAAGGCGGCCCCCUGGACAAAGACUGACGCUCAGGUGCGAAAGCGUGGGGAGCAAACAGGAUUAGAUACCCUGGUAGUCCACGCUGUAAACGAUGUCGAUUUGGAGGUUGUGCCCUUGAGGCGUGGCUUCCGGAGCUAACGCGUUAAAUCGACCGCCUGGGGAGUACGGCCGCAAGGUUAAAACUCAAAUGAAUUGACGGGGGCCCGCACAAGCGGUGGAGCAUGUGGUUUAAUUCGAUGCAACGCGAAGAACCUUACCUGGUCUUGACAUCCACAGAACUUAGCAGAGAUGCUUUGGUGCCUUCGGGAACUGUGAGACAGGUGCUGCAUGGCUGUCGUCAGCUCGUGUUGUGAAAUGUUGGGUUAAGUCCCGCAACGAGCGCAACCCUUAUCCUUUGUUGCCAGCGGUUAGGCCGGGAACUCAAAGGAGACUGCCAGUGACAAACUGGAGGAAGGUGGGGAUGACGUCAAGUCAUCAUGGCCCUUACGACCAGGGCUACACACGUGCUACAAUGGCAUAUACAAAGAGAAGCGACCUCGCGAGAGCAAGCGGACCUCAUAAAGUAUGUCGUAGUCCGGAUUGGAGUCUGCAACUCGACUCCAUGAAGUCGGAAUCGCUAGUAAUCGUAGAUCAGAAUGCUACGGUGAAUACGUUCCCGGGCCUUGUACACACCGCCCGUCACACCAUGGGAGUGGGUUGCAAAAGAAGUAGGUAGCUUAACCUUCGGGAGGGCGCUUACCACUUUGUGAUUCAUGACUGGGGUGAAGUCGUAACAAGG
rnacentral:rRNA from 1 species